AAACGUCGCGUUUAAAAGCGUGGAGAAGAGGAAAUGAGCAAUGACGAUGUUGCGUUUCGCAGUGUUCUUUUUCCCUAAAUCGUUUUAGGUUUUCCAGAAUUUCUUGUGAUUUUUCAACCGUCGCAUUCCUCCAUUUUCCCGUUUCGGUAUAUUGCGAAAUCAGUGAUUCUUGCAAAAGUGGUAUUGCAAUACCAGAUAUUUCAUUUCAACCAACCACUGAAGCAACUGAAGCAGCCGUAAUGGGUAUAAUUAGGAGUAGCUUCCUUUUCAUUGCUGGGACGACUUUUGGGAUUUACUUGGUUCAGAAUUAUCAAAUUCCUAAUUUGAGGAAUCUAGCAGACACUGCCUUGUUACAUGCAAAGCAAGUUGAGGAAAAAUAUCGAAAAUCUAAGAAGAAGAGCGAUGAUGAUUAACCAUGAUUAGAAUCAUCACCUCCCCUUAUUAAUCAGGUUCUGAUUUUUGUAUCUUUUGAAUAUUUGUCCUGCAUUUUAUAGAUCAUAGGAUGAGGUACCCUUAUUAACUAGAGCACUUAGAAAACACAAAUUAUGGAAGAUCUUUAUAGAAGGAAGUUUUCUUUGCAUUUACAAACACAUUAAAUCCAAUUUUCACGAGAAUUGUUUUCAUUCUUCUGUCUUCUGGUUGUAGUGGCAUGAUGAAUAUUGAGGGUUGUUGUUGACUUGUUUGUUCUAAUCCCUGUAAGUGUAAUUAAAGAUCUGCUUAUAUUUGCAAUAAAACAGUGUUAUUGCACUGUUAUUGGUUUAUUAUAAUCAAAUAUUGUAUUUAA